rnacentral:rRNA from 1 species
GACGAACGCUGGCGGCGUGCUUAACACAUGCAAGUCGAACGGAAAGGCCCUGCUUUUGUGGGGUGCUCGAGUGGCGAACGGGUGAGUAACACGUGAGUAACCUGCCCUUGACUUUGGGAUAACUUCAGGAAACUGGGGCUAAUACCGGAUAGGAGCUCCUGCUGCAUGGUGGGGGUUGGAAAGUUUCGGCGGUUGGGGAUGGACUCGCGGCUUAUCAGCUUGUUGGUGGGGUAGUGGCUUACCAAGGCUUUGACGGGUAGCCGGCCUGAGAGGGUGACCGGGCACAAUGGGACUGAGGUAAGGCCCAGACUCCAACGGGAGGCAGCGGGGGGGAAUAUUGCACAAUGGGCGGAAGCCUGAUGCAGCAACGCCGGGUGCGGGAAGAAGGCCUUCGGGGUGGAAACCGCUUUCGGCUUUGACGAAGCGUGAGUGACGGUAAUGGGUAAAGAAGCACCGGCUAACUACGUG